ACUGGUGUCUGCGGCUCUGAGGAACCCGGACUGUAAAAUACAGAGACUAAGGCUGCAACGUGUCGGUCUCACAGAUUCUGGAGCCGUGGAUCUCAUCUCCGCUCUCAGUACAAACCAUACGGUGACGGUGCUGAACCUGAGUGGGAAUAAACUGGGAGAUUCCGGGGUGAAACUGGUGUCUUCGGCUCUGAGGAACCCGGACUGUAAAAUACAGAGACUGGAGCUGCAACGUGUCGGUCUCACAGAUUCUGGAGCUGAGGGUCUCGUCUCCACUCUCAGCACAAACCCCUCACUGACAGGGCUGUACCUGACAGACAACUCCCUCACAGACCGAUCUGUCUCCGCUCUCCGUCGUCUCAUACUGACUCUCCCGAGUCUGGAUCAGAUCUGGCUGCUGGGGAAUAAGUUCAGUGCAGAGGGACAGAACCAGCUGAAGAGUCUGCGGGGAACCAGACGCGGACUGAGUGUGUACGUGUGAACAUCUCUGGUUGUAAACGUCACCGCCCUGGGGACUGGAAUAUUGUUGGCCGUUUCCCUGCCCCUCCCCUUUAAACGGCCGCCCAUCCUCCCCUUUAAACCCCGACAUUUCCCUGGCCGGCUGUCACGUGACCCGGAUACGUGGCGCUGCUGAUGCUACCAGGCCGGUGCUGCCCCCAGAAGGGGACGGGGGAAUUACAGCCGGAUCUGCAGGAUCCCAGAUGUGACUUUAUCAUCAGUGGCCCCCGCUCCUGCUGUGGAUUAAUGGUGACAACAGCAACAGCAACAGCACGCUACUAGAUGCUGCCUACCUACCGGCGCACACGUUGCCGUGCCUGCUUGCCUGCCUGCCACGUUGUGCUGCUCCUUGCUGCUGUUCAUGUUGUCACAAGCGGGCGGAGCACCAAGGAAAAUCCCUUGUAUGUGAAUACUUGGCCAAUAAACUUAUUCAUUCAUUCAUUCAUUGUUCAAACUGU